AGCAGAAGUGAUGAUUUUUAAUCGAUACCGCCCCAGUCUGAGUUACUGUGACUGAUUGGUAUCCCCCUGAUGCU
rnacentral:snoRNA from 1 species